UCCCGGUUGAUCCUGCCGGACCCGACUGCUAUCGGAUUGAGAUUUAGCCAUGCGAGUCGAACGUCCCCCUGUUGCGGGGGGCGUGGCGUACGGCUCAGUAACACGUAGUCAACCUGCCCUGGAGACAAGGACAACCCCGGGAAACUGGGAUUAAUCCUUGAUAGGUCAUCUCAUCUGGAAGGAGAGAUGGCUUAAAGGGGUACGCGGGCUUCUUCCGCGAAUCUGCUCCAGGAUGGGACUGCGUCCGAUCAGGCUGUUGGCGGGGUAAUGGCCCACCAAACCUGUAACCGGUACGGGCCUUGAGAGAGGUGGCCCGGAGAUGGACACUGAGAGAAGGGUCCAGGUCCUACGGGGCGCAGCAGGCGAGAAACCUUAGCAAUGUGCGAAAGCACGACUAGGUUAAUCCGAGUGAUUCCUGUUGAAGGAAUCUUUUGUCAGUCGUAAAACCACAGAUGAAUAAGGGGUGGGCAAGUCUGGUGUCAGCCGCCGCGGUAAUACCAGCACCUCGAGUGGUCAGGAGGUUUAUUGGGCCUAAAGCAUCCGUAGCCGGCUUUGCAAGUCUCCGGUUAAAUCCAGCUGCUCAACAGAUGGGCUGCCGGAGAUACUACAAAGCUAGGGAGCGGGAGAGGCAGACGGUAUUCGGUGGGUAGGGGUAAAAUCCACUGAUCCAUCGAGGACCACCAGUGGCGAAGGCGGUCUGCCAGAACGCGUUCGACGGUGAGGGAUGAAAGCUGGGGGAGCAAACCGGAUUAGAUACCCGGGUAGUCCCAGCUGUAAACGAUGCAAACUCGGUGAUGCAUUGGCUUAUGGCCAAUGCAGUGCCGCAGGGAAGCCGUUAAGUUUGCCGCCUGGGAAGUACGGACGCAAGUCUGAAACUUAAAGGAAUGGCGGGGGAGCA
rnacentral:rRNA from 1 species